rnacentral:rRNA from 1 species
ACUCCUACGGGAGGCAGCAGUGGGGAAUAUUGCACAAUGGGGGAAACCCUGAUGCAGCCAUGCCGCGUGUGUGAAGAAGGCCUUCGGGUUGUAAAGCACUUUCAGUAGGGAGGAAGGUAGUGUAGUUAACACCUGCACUAUUUGACGUUACCUACAGAAGAAGCACCGGCUAACUCCGUGCCAGCAGCCGCGGUAAUACGGAGGGUAGCGAGCGUUAAUCGGAAUUACUGGGCGUAAAGCGCAUGCAGGCGGCCUGUUAAGUCAGAUGUGAAAGCCCGGGGCUUAACCUCGGAAUUGCAUUUGAAAACUGGCAGGCUAGAGUCUUGUAGAGGGGGGUAGAAUUUCAGGUGUAGCGGUGAAAAUGCGUAGAGAUCUGAAGGAAUACCA